rnacentral:lncRNA from 1 species
AUUGAUGUUGUUUUAAUUGAUUCAUACACCAUAUCUGUAUUCCUUUUUGUUCUUCAGAUUUAUGAGAGUUCAUGCCAAACUUUGCUUUAUUCUUUCUUUCCAAUAGGACAGAUGAUGUUAUGGACUGAUUUGGAGAAAUAGCAAUAUAUUUGUUUGGGCGGCAGGUAGAGAGAAAAAGAUAGAAGAAGGAAGAACCCUGCAGAAGGGAGAAGAUACUCGGUAAAGCUUAUCUCUUGAUUUCCUAGUAUGCCAUUUGCAAUUUGUCUGUUGCUUCUCAUGCACCUGAUUUUCUGCCCUUCCAAUGACAGGUGAUGCAUGGUUCAUAGAGGUGAGAUGAGCACCCAACUAGGCAACUAUUGCAGUAUGAUUUCCUCUGCACCUUUAUUGACGAUAGCAUACACUGAAGCUUCAACCACUUUCUUUCUUCUGGACUCGAUUUUGUCAGUAUGAGCAGUAGAACUUGGUGCAUACAGAUCAGAUGGCUAUUCUUCUGUUGACGAGAACUCACUGCACUGAAGCUUCAACUACACUUUUGACAGUGUGCAGAAAAUACGAGCAACAGAGUGAGCUUUCAAGCUCAGACAAAGUGGACGAAGGGAUCAAACUAGUCACAUGGUGAGAAGAAUACUUUGCAUUUUUCCUUUCAAAUUAUAUAAAGGUUUGCAGCGAGCUAGUCACAAUUAUUGUUUCUUCUGCUCCUACAGAAAGAAAAUUAACUUGCCUAUAAAAAGUCAGGUAUCGAUUCUUUCGUUGUUAUUGCUUUUAUAAGAAACAUGCUGUUGUUGUUGGUGAUGUUAUGCUUUGUGUUUUGAAAUUGCGAGCAUGUGAAUUAUUCAGUGAACUUGUUUUUUAGAAUUAAGAAAGCUAGACAACGAAGUGCAAAACAAAUGGUUGUAUUUCUGCAAAUGAUAGCUUGUGAUGUUAAAGGUAGUCACAAAGGGAGAAACUGUCCAAAUUAUCUCAGGCCCUUAAAGCUGAACAAAUUUAUCAAACAUGUUCGACAAAAGAGAGAGACCCUGAGAUAUAUUUACAAUUCUUUUACUAUGAAUGGACAUAAACUUUGUCAUCUUUGACAAGCUGUUCUUCAACCUGUCACAGAUGAUCAUCUGUGAUGGGUUUUGAUCACAGAUGUGAGUCAUCUGUGAUGGGUUGAACUUACAACCCGGCAGUGAUGUGGUUUUACUCAAAAAAAAAAUUAAUUUGUUUUAUUGGCUAGCCUCAAGUAAUUGCUAGCCAUGCCCACUGCAAAAACAAAUAGAAUGGAUAUAUCCCUAGAAAAUAAGAAUGGAUACAUCCCACACAUCCACAUAUAUAGCUUCUCAUACAUUCCAAAUUAACAUGCUUAAUCGACUUUGUCUAGAAAACCAUUGGAUGGUAAGGUUCUCAAGCUGUUGUUCCCCAUUCUGGCAAUCACAAUUCAGAGACAACAUAAGGUGCUCUAGUUCAGGUAGAGAGAUACAAAGUCGAGCAUAUAUAGCCCCUAUUUGAAAUGAAUGCACACCCCUAGAUAAAGAAAAGCUGUAAUGUAGAGUGAACUCUGAGAUAACAAUGUGGACAAACCUUAGAUCCUUGAGUGAUGGGAAGGUGAGCCUAGCUCCUCUUGAAAAAGAAGAGAUUCAACCUAGCAGAAGCUCGGUGUUUCUUUAUUAAGAAGAAGAAAUAGGCACACAAAUUUGAGUUGAAGAGGACUCAAAAUUAAGUUGUUUGGAUGCACGAGGGCACCUAUCUGAGCUAGCUAGGCUAGGGACACUUCCUGCGUGUCCCCUCUUAAGAUACUGUAAUUGGUUAGGUGAAGUAGCUGGACGAGUGGAAGACAGAGCAUUGCCCUGGUAGCUCAUUGCGACAGUCGUAAAGCUAAGGACAAGCUCCUUGAGGUUCCCCAUGUUAAGAGAAUUGCAAUUGCGAAUCCAACACCAAAUCCGAGUCCGGCAAAAAGGAACAACACAAUGUCUAUUGACACCUUCUCUGAUUGAUGUAGAACCGUAUCUGAUGAUAUGUUGUUGCAUGCUUUGGACAGCUGAAGUCCACAGAGACCCAUGUUUCCUAGAAAUGAGAGAUUAGAGAAUGUCAAGAAGUGGGGAGACUCGGGUAUUCUUCCCUCCAACUUAUUGUAGGACAUAUUCAACGUCGAAAGGAAGUCCAGUGAUGCCAACUCUUGUGGAAUCUCUCCUGAAAGAUCAUUUGAAGAGAGGUCGAGCGACUCGAGUUGAUGUAGCAUGCCGAGCUGAGAUGGGAUCAGUCCAGUGAGGGCAUUAUGUGACAUGUUUACCCCACUAAGUAGAACUAGGUCCCCAAUAGACUGGGGAAUGGCACCAUAGAACGCAUUAUCCGAAACAUCAAUGACUACAAUUGUCCUCAAUAUCUUCGAAAAAGUAAUAUCAGACCCUUUGUAUGUGAUGGCAGUGGUGAUUUGGUAUGUUUGGCCAAGUAGAUCAUAUUGAUUUUCCAUGACCAGCGUCUCAUUGACUGUUUUAGUCAUCAUGGAUUUCAUUGUUCUAAACCAUUCAUUUUGUAAUAGUCCAGAGAAAUUGUUUGAAGCCAAGUCAAAAAUUCGAAGUUUUAUAAACUCACAACUAUUUUUAUCUCCAGGAACAGAAGGCCCCACAUUCCCGACAAACUUGUUGGAUUUCAGAACAAGGACUUGAAGUUUAGGAAGCAUACUCAUCCAACAUGGAAAUUUAUCAUCAA